rnacentral:rRNA from 1 species
UACAGAGGGCUCAAGCGUUGUUCGGAUUCAUUGGGCGUAAAGGGUGCGUAGGUGGUGGGGUAAGUCGGGUGUGAAAUCCCGGGGCUCAACCCCGGAACUGCAUUCGAUACUGCCUUGCUCGAGUACUGGAGAGGAGACUGGAAUUUACGGUGUAGCAGUGAAAUGCGUAGAUAUCGUAAGGAAGACCAGUGGCGAAGGCGAGUCUCUGGACAGUUACUGACACUGAGGCACGAAGGCCAGGGGAGCAAACGGG